GACGUAGGGCGCGAGCGUUGUCCGGAUUUAUUGGGCGUAAAGAGCUCGUAGGCGGCUUGUCGCGUCGUUCGUGAAAACUCACAGCUCAACUGUGAGCUUGCGGUCGAUACGGGCAGGCUAGAGUUCGGUAGGGGAGACUGGAAUUCCUGGUGUAGCGGUGAAAUGCGCAGAUAUCAGGAGGAACACCGGGUGGCGAAGGCGGCGACCUGGGGUCGACACUGACGCUGGAGGCGCGAAAGCCGUGGGGAGCAAACAGG
rnacentral:rRNA from 1 species